AUGUUUACAACAGGUACAGUACGAAGCUCAGAACUGAGGAAGAUACUGUGUCUCAACCUCAUUGGGAAGAAAGAGUAGAUCCAGAAGAUCUGAAAUGGAAAAAAGAUCAGGUAAAAUCAGGUACGAUCCAUACAUGGGACUUGGAGGAAAAGAUUAGCGAUCUAGACAGAACAACCAGCACUAUGACCAAAGGUCAAGAAACAGG
rnacentral:lncRNA from 1 species